rnacentral:rRNA from 1 species
UACGAAGGUCCCAAGCGUUAUCCGGAUUUAUUGGGUUUAAAGGGUGCGUAGGCGGGCUAUUAAGUCAGUGGUGAAGCCCCAGCUUAACUUGGGAACUGCCAUUGAUACUGAUGGUCUUGAGUACAUUUGAGGUGGGCGGAAUGUGUCAGUGUAGCGGUGAAAUGCUUAGAUAUGACACAGAACACCGAUUGCGAAGGCAGCUCACUAAACUGUAACUGGACGCUGAGGCACGAAAGCGUGGGGAGCAAACAGG